GAUGUAGCUCAGUGGUAUAGUGUAUGCUUAUUAGUGUGCUUGAAGUCCUGGGUUGAAUCCCCAGCACA
rnacentral:tRNA from 1 species